AAUAGAAACCUUUGUGUUUUUGUUUACUCAUAUGCGACUGAAUCUGAAUGAACCCAUUCAUAUUCUUAAUUAUUCGGUUGAAUCUUCAUGAGAUUUUGGUCUGUCUGAAGAAUCGAGGGCAAUUUUCUGAUUGUUCGUUCCAAAAAGCCAUCGAAUUCAUAUUCCAAAUCACAUCCAAAAAUCUUCGCCUCUCAUAAUCACCAUACUCUUUCCCUAAAUUAAUCAUAAUACUCUUUGCCCAAAUCAAAAUUGUCAUAAUGAUCGAACCAUAGUUGCAUUCAACCCAAAUUUUGUAACCAAAGAAGAGAUUUUUGGGUGAAAAUUGUGAUACUGAAAUUAACAAUUAAAAAACAUUGUGAUUCCAGCUUACUGAAUAGUUAGUCAAUUUCAUUAACCCAUUAACACCCCACUCCUUCUCCACCACGCUACCAGCAAACAUCAUGGUCGACCUCAAAGCCCAAAUUCAGUUUUCAAUUUCAAUUCAUAAAAACACCUAACUUUAAUUCAUCCCACUACGGUAACCACCUCAAUUUCUUCUGACUCUCACGACACCACCCUUCUCCUUCAGUUUUGGGUAUUGCAGUGUUUAUUCGUUUGAAUAGUUUGAAUAUCAACUGAAGGUAAAGCAGGUCAAGAUAUGAAGUACCAAGUCCCCACAAAACAUAGAAAGACAUGGAAGAAAUCAGAACCAAUAUGAGACAAACGGAGGUACAGUAGCGGACAUCAAUGAAGUCUUCAUUCCCCGUCUUAGUCGUAGAAUCGCAGAGCAAGCUCGAAUUCAAGAGUUAGAUCGAAACAUCAACCGAACACAAUAAAGCACCAUAUGAGGUUAAUACUUUUUCUUUGUUCAGCUCUGAUACAAAUGACCAUAUGAGAUGGUCACGUCAUGUUUGCUUUUGCACGGAUUUAGAAAACUUAUCAAAUCAUGUUUGCUUGGUGUGUUACACUGCCAAAACAUCAUUUACAUUACAUUUUCGUGUUUAAUGCAUGAAUGGAAUACUACAGCACAGACUGUCCAUCCAAGUACGAUUAUGGACUGUCCAUCCAAGUACGAUUAUGGAGAGCUAAUAUGGGAUUCUAGAGAAGUUUUCAAAAGCAUCUUAGGAUGUCUAAUUAGGAUACGAUUGUUCUUUUGAUUUUCGCUAAACAAGAUAUAUACCACAAGAUUUUUUUAUGAAGAACGACUUGAGAAUCCUCUUCUGACAGCACUCAAGGAUAUAUAGGAUCUAAGUGCUUUGUAAAACUUUGAAAUUUUCUCUCUGGAAGUCUGCAACUUUGCGCCUUUUAUUGAGCUCAUGAUGCAGCUGCAGAUAGCGCAAGAAGAGUUUGGAAUGGUCUCUUUCUGUAACUCUGUUUUGCUAGAAAUGAAAAUGCCAAUCAAUCUCCUUUUGUAAGUUCAAAUUUCUGAAUUAUAAUUCCAGUCUCAUCCUAAAUUUGGAAGUUAGGAAUAAAAAGGAAAGUUUCUUUGAAGAA